rnacentral:rRNA from 1 species
AGUGAACGCUGGCGGUAGGCCUAACACAUGCAAGUCGAACGGCAGCACAGUAAGAGCUUGCUCUUACGGGUGGCGAGUGGCGGACGGGUGAGGAAUACAUCGGAAUCUACUUUUUCGUGGGGGAUAACGUAGGGAAACUUACGCUAAUACCGCAUACGACCUACGGGUGAAAGCAGGGGAUCUUCGGACCUUGCGCGAUUGAAUGAGCCGAUGUCGGAUUAGCUAGUUGGCGGGGUAAAGGCCCACCAAGGCGACGAUCCGUAGCUGGUCUGAGAGGAUGGUCAGCCACAUUGGAACUGAGACACGGUCCAGACUCCUACGGGAGGCAGCAGUGGGGAAUAUUGGACAAUGGGCGCAAGCCUGAUCCAGCCAUACCGCGUGGGUGAAGAAGGCCUUCGGGUUGUAAAGCCCUUUUGUUGGGAAAGAAAAGCAGCAGGUUAAUACCCCGCUGUUCUGACGGUACCCAAAGAAUAAGCACCGGCUAACUUCGUG